rnacentral:rRNA from 1 species
UACGAAGGGGGCUAGCGUUGCUCGGAAUUACUGGGCGUAAAGGGCGCGCAGGCGGCCCUUGAAGUCAGGCGUGAAAGCCCCGGGCUCAACCUGGGAGGUGCGCUUGAUACUCGAGGGCUUGAGUGCGGGAGAGGAGAGUGGAAUUCCCAGUGUAGAGGUGAAAUUCGUAGAUAUUCGGAAGAACACCGGUGGCGAAGGCGGGUCUCUGGGCCGAUACUGACGCUGAGGAGCGAAAGCGUGGGGAGCGAACAGG